UACAGAGGUCUCAAGCGUUGUUCGGAUUCAUUGGGCGUAAAGGGUGUGUAGGUGGCGCGCUAAGUCGGGUGUGAAAUUUCGGAGCUUAACUCCGAAACUGCAUUCGAUACUGGCGUGCUUGAGGACUGGAGAGGAGACUGGAAUUUACGGUGUAGCAGUGAAAUGCGUAGAUAUCGUAAGGAAGACCAGUGGCGAAGGCGGGUCUCUGGACAGUUCCUGACGCUGAAGCACGAAGGCCAGGGGAGCAAACGGG
rnacentral:rRNA from 1 species